rnacentral:rRNA from 1 species
UACGAAGGGGGCUAGCGUUGUUCGGAAUUACUGGGCGUAAAGCGCACGUAGGCGGAUUGUUAAGUUAGGGGUGAAAUCCCGGGGCUCAACCCCGGAACUGCCUUUAAUACUGGCAAUCUCGAGUCCGAGAGAGGUGAGUGGAAUUCCGAGUGUAGAGGUGAAAUUCGUAGAUAUUCGGAAGAACACCAGUGGCGAAGGCGGCUGACUGGACA